CCGGUUUUGUGGGUGAUCGCUGUGGCAUGGUUUUGGGAUUUGUUUCUUAGAAUUUUAUCGCAGAGGAAAGUCCGGACUUUAUAGGGCGGCGCAAGGGGUAACGCCCCUCCAUCGGCAGGUGAGGAACAGUGGAACAGAGAGAAUGUCCAGGACAGUGAUCUUAGAGGUGGGAACGGGAGCCUCUAAGGGAGUCGCUGGAGUGAAAACAGCUAAACUCUGCGUGAAGCAAGAUCAAAUAGGGGGGCUCUAAGUUCGCGCCCGAACAUGCCCCCGGGUCAGAUCGCUUGAGGGUCCUGGUAACAGGACUCCCAGAGAAAUGAUUGCCCAUAAUCACUAGGAAGUCUUCGGGGACCGAGUGAUUUGGACAGAAUCCGGCUUAUAGCAAAACCUGUGUU
rnacentral:RNase_P_RNA from 1 species